CGGGGUGUAGUUUAGUGGUAGAAUACGCGGCUGGGGGCCGUGCGGUCGCAGUUCGAUUCUGCGCACCCCGA
rfam:Microgenomates (Levybacteria) bacterium GW2011_GWA2_40_8 TT21_C0007, whole genome shotgun sequence.